AUACGGAGGGUGCGAGCGUUAAUCGGAAUUACUGGGCGUAAAGCGUGCGUAGGCGGUUUGCUACGUCAGAUGUGAAAGCCCCGGGCUUAACCUGGGAACUGCAUUUGAUACUGGCAGACUAGAGUAUGAUAGAGGGGGGUAGAAUUCCUGGUGUAGCGGUGAAAUGCGUAGAUAUCAGGAGGAAUACCAGUGGCGAAGGCGGCCCCCUGGAUCAAUACUGACGCUGAGGUACGAAAGCGAGGGGAGCGAACAGGAUUAGAUACCCUAGUAGUCC
rnacentral:rRNA from 1 species